CCCUUAGAUGUCCUGGGCCGCACGCGCGCUACACUGACAUGUUCAACAAGCCUCCUAGUUCGACAGGAUUUGGGAAAUCUUUGAACGCAUGUCGUGAUAGGGAUAGAUCAUUGCAAUUAUUGAUCUUGAACGAGGAAUUCCUAGUAAACGCGAGUCAUCAGCUCGCAUUGAUUACGUCCCUUCCCUUUGUACACACCGCCCGUCGCACCUACCGAUUGAAUGUUUCGGUGAAGAUUCCGGAUAGGACUUUUUUGAUUUAUUUCAAUUUUGUCUUAAAAGCUAUCUAAACCUCAACAUUUAGAGGAAGGUGAAGUCGUAACA
rnacentral:rRNA from 1 species